AGUGAACGCUGGCGGUAGGCCUAACACAUGCAAGUCGAACGGCAGCACAGUAAGAGCUUGCUCUUACGGGUGGCGAGUGGCGGACGGGUGAGGAAUACAUCGGAAUCUACUUUUUCGUGGGGGAUAACGUAGGGAAACUUACGCUAAUACCGCAUACGACCUACGGGUGAAAGCAGGGGAUCUUCGGACCUUGCGCGAUUGAAUGAGCCGAUGUCGGAUUAGCUAGUUGGCGGGGUAAAGGCCCACCAAGGCGACGAUCCGUAGCUGGUCUGAGAGGAUGAUCAGCCACACUGGAACUGAGACACGGUCCAGACUCCUACGGGAGGCAGCAGUGGGGAAUAUUGGACAAUGGGCGCAAGCCUGAUCCAGCCAUACCGCGUGGGUGAAGAAGGCCUUCGGGUUGUAAAGCACUUUUGUUGGGAAAGAAAAGCAGUAGGUUAAUACCCCGCUGUUCUGACGGUACCAAAAGAAUAAGCACCGGCUAACUUCGUG
rnacentral:rRNA from 1 species